GCAACUAAUAACCUAAUUACCCGUCAA
rnacentral:sRNA from 1 species